rnacentral:rRNA from 1 species
UACGUAGGGUGCAAGCGUUGUCCGGAAUUAUUGGGCGUAAAGAGCUCGUAGGCGGUUUGUCGCGUCUGCUGUGAAAACGCGAGGCUCAACCUCGCGCCUGCAGUGGGUACGGGCAGACUAGAGUGCGGUAGGGGAGAUUGGAAUUCCUGGUGUAGCGGUGGAAUGCGCAGAUAUCGGGAGGAACACCCAUGGCGAAGGCGGCACUCUGGGACGGUACUGACGCUGAGACGCGAAAGCGUGGGGAGCAAACAGG